rnacentral:tRNA from 1 species
UCCCUGGUGGACCAGUAGUUAGGACUCAGUACUUUCACUGCUGGGGAUGCAAGUUCAAUCCCUGGUCAGGGAA